CUUGGUUUUGAAUAAAUAGCUUUGGUCGUUACGUGAAAAUCGGCUAAGAUGCAGGUCAGGAGCCAUCUCGUUAGGCGUCUGGACUCUUAAAGCGGAGGGGUUACUGGAUAGUGUUGUUGUAUAGUUUUGUUGUACAGUGAUGUAUAUAUAUGUACAUAGCUUUCUCUCCGCAUAACUUGUUCUUUUUUAUCCUCUUAGAGG